AACGAACGCUGGCGGCAUGCCUAACACAUGCAAGUCGAACGAGACCUUCGGGUCUAGUGGCGCACGGGUGCGUAACGCGUGGGAACCUGCCCUUAGGUUCGGAAUAACUCCCCGAAAGGGGUGCUAAUACCGGAUAAUGUCUUCGGACCAAAGAUUUAUCGCCUUUGGAUGGGCCCGCGUUGGAUUAGCUAGUUGGUAGGGUAAAAGCCUACCAAGGCGACGAUCCAUAGCUGGUCUGAGAGGAUGAUCGGCCACACUGGGACUGAGACACGGCCCAGACUCCUACGGGAGGCAGCAGUGGGGAAUAUUGGACAAUGGGCGAAAGCCUGAUCCAGCAAUGCCGCGUGAGUGAUGAAGGCCUUAGGGUUGUAAAGCUCUUUUACCCGGGAUGAUAAUGACAGUACCGGGAGAAUAAGCUCCGGCUAACUCCG
rnacentral:rRNA from 1 species